CACUAGGAAGCUAAAUAGGGCCUAGCGUCAGCCUUUUAAGUUGAAGAUUGGUGGCCCCCAACCACCUCUAGUGA
rnacentral:tRNA from 1 species